CAGCUUCUACGAAGCUGGUCUCCACCACAGGACUGCAUGUCCCAGGUCACAACAUAUUUCAUUUCACAGACACAUCGAUAUUGUCCCUUAUGUAUGACGAUGCCGAUGUUCAUGAAAUAUAUUGGCCAGACCCUGACAAUGGAGAGUAUGAGAAUAACCGGAAUCGGUAUAACAAUACAAGGUUUGGGGGUCUAGAUGAUACCGGAAACUUCUUUUCGAGUGAUUUGCCCAACCAGCAAGCACUCGUUGCCUCCGAUCAAGGUCUUGGCAUCAAAAGAAGGCUCACUCUGGAUCCUGAUGGCAAUCUCCGGCUCUACAGCUUGAACAGUUCAGAUGGGAGAUGGU
rnacentral:lncRNA from 1 species